rnacentral:rRNA from 1 species
ACUCCUACGGGAGGCAGCAGUGAGGAAUAUUGGUCAAUGGGCGCAAGCCUGAACCAGCCAUGCCGCGUGAAGGAUGAAGGUUCUAUGGAUUGUAAACUUCUUUUAUUUGGGAAUAAACCUCGAGACGUGUCUCGAGCUGAAGGUACCAAACGAAUAAGCACCGGCUAACUCCGUGCCAGCAGCCGCGGUAAUAC